UUAAAUUGCAGCGUUUGAUCAUGGCUCAGAUUGAACGCUGUCUGUAGGCCUAACACAUGCAAGU
rnacentral:rRNA from 1 species